rnacentral:rRNA from 1 species
AAUUAAGCAGCGUCGGGCGCGGUUAGUACUUAGAUGGGGGACCGCUUGGGAACACCGCGUGUUGUGGCAU